rnacentral:rRNA from 1 species
AUUGAACGCUGGCGGCAUGCCUUACACAUGCAAGUCGAACGGUAACAGGGAGCUUGCUCCGCUGACGAGUGGCGAACGGGUGAGUAAUGUAUCGGAACGUACCAUUCAGUGGGGGAUAACGUAGCGAAAGUUACGCUAAUACCGCAUAUUCUGUGAGCAGGAAAGCAGGGGAUCGCAAGACCUUGCGCUGAUUGAGCGGCCGAUAUCAGAUUAGCUAGUUGGUGAGGUAAAGGCUCACCAAGGCGACGAUCUGUAGCGGGUCUGAGAGGAUGAUCCGCCACACUGGAACUGAGACACGGUCCAGACUCCUACGGGAGGCAGCAGUGGGGAAUUUUGGACAAUGGGGGCAACCCUGAUCCAGCCAUGCCGCGUGAGUGAAGAAGGCCUUCGGGUUGUAAAGACUCUUUCGGCCGGGAAAAAGUACGCAUCAGUUAAUACCUGGUGUGGAUGAUGGUACCGGAAUAAGAAGCACCGGCUAACUACGUGACC